rnacentral:pre_miRNA from 1 species
AAGUCGCAGACUGGGAAAUCUCUGCAGGCAAAGGUGACGUUUGUAUAGCAAUCUCACAAUUACCUGUAGAGACUCUACAAUCUGGCAUC